rnacentral:tRNA from 1 species
UCUAAUAUGGCAGAAUAGUGCAAUGGAUUUAAGCUUCAUAUAUAAAGAUAGAUUUAACUUUUAUUAGAA